rnacentral:rRNA from 1 species
GGGGAAUUUUGCGCAAUGGGCGAAAGCCUGACGCAGCAACGCCGCGUGGAGGAUGAAGGUGCUCUGCAUUGUAAACUCCUGUCGGCCGGGAAGAAUCGGCGGGGUGCUAAUCAGCCCCGUCUUGACUGUACCGGCAAAGGAAGCCCCGGCUAACUCCGUGCCAGCAGCCGCGGUAAUACGGAGGGGGCAAGCGUUACUCGGAAUUAUUGAGCGUAAAGGGCGCGUAGGCGGUCUCGUGCGUCAGGGGUGAAAUCCCCGGGCUUAACCCGGGACGUGCCUCUGAUACGGCGAGACUUGAGUCCGGGAGAGGAGAGCAGAAUUCCCAGUGUAGCGGUGAAAUGCGUAGAUAUUGGGAGGAAUACCAGUGGCGAAGGCGGCUCCCUGGACCGGUACUGACGCUGAGGCGCGAAAGCGUGGGUAGCAAAC